rnacentral:rRNA from 1 species
AAGGUAGCAUAAUAAACCGCUUACUAAUUAUAGGAUAGAAUGAAGGUAAAAAGAAGACCCAACUGUCUCAAGACCCUAAAAUUAAAAAUAGAAUGUGUGUGCAAAUCCACACUAAAACGGCAAGACGACUAGACCCUAAGAACUUUACCUAAAGCUUUAACUAUUAAAAAGUUCUAAGUUUCGUUGGGGCAACGAUCUUUAAAAAAGUAACUAAGAUUAUCCAAUCAUAACACACACCUACAAUAACUUCAAACAGAUAAAACCCAUUAACAAACAACUUAAUGGAAAAAAAUAAAAGUUCCUUAGGGAUAACAGCGUUAUAUCGUUCUCUAGAAAAUAUUCAAACGAUGUUUGCGACCUCGAUGUUGAAUUGCUAUAUCCCAAAAUGUAACCACAUUUAAAGGUUGGACUGUCCUUCCAUCAAAAUAGCACGUG